AUUGAACGCUGGCGGAAUGCUUUACACAUGCAAGUCGAGCGGCAGCGCGGGGGCAACCCUGGCGGCGAGCGGCGAACGGGUGAGUAAUGUAUCGGAACGUACCCAGUCGUGGGGGAUAACUAUCCGAAAGGAUAGCUAAUACCGCAUACGACCUGAGGGUGAAAGCGGGGGACCGUAAGGCCUCGCGCGAUUGGAGCGGCCGAUAUCGGAUUAGCUAGUUGGUGAGGUAAAGGCUCACCAAGGCGACGAUCCGUAGCUGGUCUGAGAGGACGACCAGCCACACUGGAACUGAGACACGGUCCAGACUCCUACGGGAGGCAGCAGUGGGGAAUUUUGGACAAUGGGCGCAAGCCUGAUCCAGCCAUGCCGCGUGAGUGAAGAAGGCCUCGGUUGUAAGACUCUUCGGUCCGGGAAGGAAAUACGCAUGGGUUAAUACCCUGUGUGGAUGACGGUACCGGAAUAAGAAG
rnacentral:rRNA from 1 species